UACGUAGGGGGCAAGCGUUGUCCGGAUUUAUUGGGCGUAAAGCGCGUGUAGGCGGCCACGCAGGUCCGCUGUGAAAACUCGAGGCUCAACCUCGAGCUGUCGGUGGAAACCGCGUGGCUAGAGUCCGGAAGAGGGGACUGGAAUUCCCGGUGUAGCGGUGAAAUGCGCAGAUAUUAGGAAGAACACCGGUGGCGAAGGCGGCUUCCUGGAACGGUACUGACGCUGAGACGCGAAAGCGUGGGGAGCAAACAGG
rnacentral:rRNA from 1 species